AUGAACUGCGACUGCUUAAGCUAUAAUCUAGCAGAAGCUGGAACUUUUGAGCAAAUUAAAAUUUGUAGAGGUGCCCCUGGUAUCUCUCAUCUCCUCUUUGCGGAUGACACACUUUUGUUUUUCAAAGCAAAUCCUGAGCAAGCAAAUUUUGUCAAAGGAGUCAUUUCAAGGUAUGCCCAAGCAACUGGCCAGCUCAUAAAUCCCCAAAAAUGCUCUAUUCAAUUUGGAGACAGUUGCCCUAUUGACAUCCAACAAGAGGUUAGACAAAUCCUUGAUGUGGUGCAAGAGGAGUUUGAAUCCAAAUAUUUGGGAUUACCAAUACUUGAUGAAAGGAUGCAUAGAGGGAAAUUCCAAAAUCUACAGGAAAGGCUCACAUCUGGGGGGACACUAUUUCUCAAGCGAGAAAGGAAACUUUUAUUAAGUGACAUCCCAACAUAUGUUAUGGGCGUGUUUAAGCUUCCUGUGUCCGUUUGUGAUGAUUUAUCAAGGCUGGUAUGGAACUUCUGGUAG
rnacentral:rRNA from 1 species